GCUCUAUUAGUUCAACGGUAGAGAACAUUAGCCUUUCAAACUAAAAGCAUCGGUUUGACUCUGGUAUAGAGUA
rnacentral:tRNA from 1 species